rnacentral:rRNA from 1 species
UACGAAGGGGGCUAGCGUUGCUCGGAAUCACUGGGCGUAAAGCGCACGUAGGCGGAUCUUUAAGUCAGGGGUGAAAUCCCAAGGCUCAACCUUGGAACUGCCUUUGAUACUGGGGAUCUCGAGUCCGGAAGAGGUGGUGGAACUGCGAGUGUAGAGGUGAAAUUCGUAGAUAUUCGCAAGAACACCAGUGGCGAAGGCGGCCAACUGGUCCGGUACUGACGC